rnacentral:rRNA from 1 species
GACGAACGCUGGCGCGUGCUUAACACAUGCGAGUCGAACGCUGAAGGCCCAGCUUGCUGGUUGGAUGAGUGGCGACGGUGAGUAACACGUGAGUAACCUGCCCCCUUCUUUGGGGAUAACGGUCGGAAACGGCUGCUAAUACCGGGGUAUUCACUGUCCUUCGCAUGGGGGGUGGUGGAAAGGUUUUUUCUGGUGGGGGAUGGGCUCGCGGCCUAUCAGCUUGUUGGUGGGGGUGAUGGCUUACCAAGGCUUUGACGGGUAACCGGCCUGAGAGGGUGACCGGUCACAUUGGGACUGAGAUACGGCCCAGACUCCUACGGGAGGCAGCAGUUGGGGAAUAUUGCACAAUGGGCGAAAGCCUGAUGCAGCGACGCCGCGUGAGGGGAUGGAGGCCUUCGGGUUGUAAAUCUCUUUCGCUCAUGGUCAAGCCGCAACAGUGGGUGUGGUGAGUUAGUAGGGUAAAGAAGCACCGCCUAACUACGUUGCAGCAGCCGCGGUAAUACGUAGGGUGCUAGCGUUGUUCUGGAAUUAUUGGGCGUAAAGGGCUUGUAGGCGGUUUGUCGCGUCUGCCUGAAAUCCUCUGCUUAACUGGGGUGCGCGGGGGGACGAGGCAGCCUGUGUGUGGUAGGGAGCUGGUGUUCUAGUUAUACUCUGGUAGCGGAGCUUUCGUGCUAGCGACUCUACUCAAAGAGGUCGUUUGUGGUAUAGAAAUAGAGUAGUGGAGGCGAUUCCAAUUGAUUAAGUUCUUUCGUACCUUAGUCUCUGGGGGGCCGGGACGCGCUUUGUUCCUUUCGGAGGGGGGUCACCCUUGCGUAACUAUACUAAUAGACUGAGAAGAUAUAGUCUAUACUACCGUUCUUCGAGUCUUCUGUCGGUCUGCUAUCAAG